GGUGGCUCAGCGAUAGAGUGCAUGCCUUGCAAGCAUGAGGCCCUGGGUUCGAUUCCCCAGCACCA
rfam:Dipodomys ordii contig_62045, whole genome shotgun sequence.